rnacentral:rRNA from 1 species
GACGUAGGGCGCGAGCGUUGUCCGGAUUUAUUGGGCGUAAAGAGCUCGUAGGCGGCUUGUCGCGUCGAAUGUGAAAUCUCAGGGCUCAACUCUGUCAUUGCAUUCGAUACGGGCAGGCUAGAGUGCGGCAGGGGAGACUGGAAUUCCUGGUGUAGCGGUGAAAUGCGCAGAUAUCAGGAGGAACACCGGUGGCGAAGGCGGGUCUCUGGGCCGUUACUGACGCUGAGGAGCGAAAGCGUGGGGAGCGAACAGG